rnacentral:rRNA from 1 species
GGGCCCGCACAAGCGGUGGAUUAUGUGGUUUAAUUCGAUGAUACGCGAGGAACCUUACCAAGGCUUAAAUGGGAAUUGACAGGUUUAGAAAUAGACUUUCCUUCGGGCAAUUUUCAAGGUGCUGCAUGGUUGUCGUCAGCUCGUGCCGUGAGGUGUUAGGUUAAGUCCUGCAACGAGCGCAACCCCUGUCACUAGUUGCCAUCAUUCAGUUGGGGACUCUAGUGAGACUGCCUACGCAAGUAGAGAGGAAGGUGGGGAUGACGUCAAAUCAUCACGGCCCUUACGCCUUGGGCCACACACGUAAUACAAUGGCCGGUACAGAGGGCAGCUACUAUGCGAAUAGAUGCGAAUCUCGAAAGCCGGUCUCAGUUCGGAUUGGAGUCUGCAACUCGACUCUAUGAAGCUGGAAUCGCUAGUAAUCGCGCAUCAGCCAUGGCGCGGUGAAUACGUUCCCGGGCCUU